rnacentral:rRNA from 1 species
AACGAACGCUGGCGGCAUGCCUAACACAUGCAAGUCGAACGAGACCUUCGGGUCUAGUGGCGCACGGGUGCGUAACGCGUGGGAACCUGCCCUUAGGUUCGGAAUAACUCCCCGAAAGGGGUGCUAAUACCGGAUAAUGUCUUCGGACCAAAGAUUUAUCGCCUUUGGGUGGGCCCGCGUUGGAUUAGCUAGUUGGUAGGGUAAAAGCCUACCAAGGCGACGAUCCAUAGCUGGUCUGAGAGGAUGAUCAGCCACACUGGGACUGAGACACGGCCCAGACUCCUACGGGAGGCAGCAGUGGGGAAUAUUGGACAAUGGGCGAAAGCCUGAUCCAGCAAUGCCGCGUGAGUGAUGAAGGCCUUAGGGUUGUAAAGCCCUUUUACCCGGGAUGAUAAUGACAGUACCGGGAGAAUAAGCUCCGGCUAACUCCGUG